rnacentral:rRNA from 1 species
AUUGAACGCUGGCGGCAUGCCUUACACAUGCAAGUCGAACGGUAACAGGUCUUCGGAUGCUGACGAGUGGCGAACGGGUGAGUAAUACAUCGGAACGUGCCCGAGAGUGGGGGAUAACGAAGCGAAAGCUUUGCUAAUACCGCAUACGAUCUCAGGAUGAAAGCAGGGGACCGCAAGGCCUUGCGCUCACGGAGCGGCCGAUGGCAGAUUAGGUAGUUGGUGGGAUAAAAGCUUACCAAGCCGACGAUCUGUAGCUGGUCUGAGAGGACGACCAGCCACACUGGGACUGAGACGCGGCCCAGACUCCUACGGGAGGCAGCAGUGGGGAAUUUUGGACAAUGGGCGCAAGCCUGAUCCAGCCAUGCCGCGUGCAGGAUGAAGGCCUUCGGGUUGUAAACUGCUUUUGUACGGAACGAAAAGCCCUGGGUUAAUACCCUGGGGUCAUGACGGUACCGUAAGAAUAAGCACCGGCUAACUACGUGCCAGCCGCCGCCGUAAAAC